rnacentral:tRNA from 13 species
UUCCCCAGGUGAGGCUCGAACUCACAGCCUCGGAAUCGCUCGCAGGUACUACUGUAUAAAUACCGCGUGCUAACCAAUUGCGCCACUGGGGA